GUGUCAGCAGCCGCGGUAAGACAGAGGAGCCAAGCGUUGUCCGGAUUGACUGGGCGUAAAGCGCACGCAGGCGGCUGGGCACGUGGGGUGUGAAACCUGGCGGCUUAACUGCCAGACGCCAUCCCAUACGGCCCGGCUCGAGGUAGGCAGAGGUUCGUGGAAUUGCCGGUGUAGUGGUGAAAUGCGUAGAGAUCGGCAGGAACACCAAGGGCGAAAGCAGCGAACUGGGCCUAUUCUGACGCUCAGGUGCGAAAGCGUGGGGAGCGAACCGGAUUAGAUACCCUCGUAGUCC
rnacentral:rRNA from 1 species